rnacentral:rRNA from 1 species
GUCGAUCAUACCAACACUAAUGCACCGGAUCCCAUCAGAACUCCGCUGUUAAAUGUGCUUGGGCGAGAGUUGUACUAGGAUGAGUGACAUCCUGGGAAGUCCCCGUG